rnacentral:rRNA from 1 species
UACAGAGGUCUCAAGCGUUGUUCGGAUUCAUUGGGCGUAAAGGGUGCGUAGGUGGCGGGGUAAGUCAGGUGUGAAAUCUCGGAGCUCAACUCCGAAACUGCACUUGAUACUGCCUUGCUGGAGUACUGGAGAGGAGAUUGGAAUUUACGGUGUAGCAGUGAAAUGCGUAGAUAUCGUAAGGAAGACCAGUGGCGAAGGCGAAUCUCUGGACAGCUACUGACACUGAGGCACGAAGGCCAGGGGAGCAAACGGG